rnacentral:tRNA from 1 species
GGCUCUGUGGCGCAAUGGACAGCGCAUUGGACUUCUAAUUCAAAGGUUGUGGGUUCGAGUCCCACUAGAGUCA